ACGGGAGGCAGCAGUGGGGAAUAUUGGGCAAUGGGCGCAAGCCUGACCCAGCAACGCCGCGUGAAGGAAGAAGGUCUUCGGAUUGUAAACUUUUGUCCUAUGGGACGAUAAUGACGGUACCAUGGGAGGAAGCCACGACUAACUACGUGCCAGCAGUCGCGGUAAUACGUAGGUGGCAAGCGUUAUCCGGAAUUACUGGGUGUAAAGGGUGCGUAGGCGGGAUGUAAAGUCAGAUGUGAAAUUCCAUGGCUUAACUGUGGACCUGCAUUUGAAACUUACGUUCUUGAGUGAAGUAGAGGCAAGCGGAAUUCCUAGUGUAGCGGUGAAAUGCGUAGAUAUUAGGAGGAACACCAGUGGCGAAGGCGGCUUGCUGGGCUUUUACUGACGCUGAGGCACGAAAGUGCGGGGAGCAAACAGGAUUAGAUACCCUGGUA
rnacentral:rRNA from 1 species